rnacentral:rRNA from 1 species
GAAUUCGCCCUUAGAGUUUGAUCCUGGCUCAGGACGAACGCUGGCGGCGCGCCUAACACAUGCAAGUCGAACGAGCGAGAGAGAGCUUGCUUUCUCGAGCGAGUGGCGAACGGGUGAGUAACGCGUGAGGAACCUGCCUCAAAGAGGGGGACAACAGUUGGAAACGACUGCUAAUACCGCAUAAGCCCACGGGUCGGCAUCGACCAGAGGGAAAAGGAGCAAUCCGCUUUGAGAUGGCCUCGCGUCCGAUUAGCUGGUUGGUGAGGUAAUGGCCCACCAAGGCAACGAUCGGUAGCCGGACUGAGAGGUUGAACGGCCACAUUGGGACUGAGACACGGCCCAGACUCCUACGGGAGGCAGCAGUGGGGAAUAUUGCACAAUGGGGGAAACCCUGAUGCAGCGACGCCGCGUGGAGGAAGAAGGUCUUCGGAUUGUAAACUCCUGUUGUUGAGGAAGAUAAUGACGGUACUCAACAAGGAAGUGACGGCUAACUACGUGCCAGCAGCCGCGGUAAAACGUAGGUCACAAGCGUUGUCCGGAAUUACUGGGUGUAAAGGGGGCGCAGGCGGGAAGACAAGUUGGAAGUGAAAUCCAUGGGCUCAACCCAUGAACUGCUUUCAAAACUGUUUUUCUUGAGUAGUGCAGAGGUAGGCGGAAUUCCCGGUGUUGCGGUGGAAUGCGUAGAUAUCGGGAGGAACACCAGUGGCGAAGGCGGCCUACUGGGCACCAACUGACGCUGAGGCUCGAAAGUGUGGGUAGCAAACAGGAUUAGAUACCCUGGUAGUCCACACCGUAAACGAUGAUUACUAGGUGUUGGAGGAUUGACCCUUUCAGUGCCGCAGUUAACACAAUAAGUAAUCCACCUGGGGAGUACGACCGCAAGGUUGAAACUCAAAGGAAUUGACGGGGGCCCGCACAAGCAGUGGAGUAUGUGGUUUAAUUCGAUGCAACGCGAAGAACCUUACCUGGGCUUGACAUGUUCCCGACAGCCCCAGAGAUGGGGCCUCCCUUCGGGGCGGGUUCACAGGUGGUGCAUGGUCGUUGUCAGCUCGUGUCGUGAGAUGUUGGGUUAAGUCCCGCAACGAGCGCAACCCUCGCCCCGUGUUGCCAGCACAUGAUGGUGGGAACUCACGGGGGACCGCCGGGGUUAACUCGGAGGAAGGUGGGGAUGACGUCAGAUCAUCAUGCCCCUUACGUCCAGGGCUUCACGCAUGCUACAAUGGCCGGUACAACGGGAUGCGACAUGGCGACAUGGAGCGGAUCCCUGAAAACCGGUCUCAGUUCGGAUUGGAGUUUGCAACCCGACUCCAUGAAGGCGGAGUCGCUAGUAAUCGCGAAUCAGCAACGUCGCGGUGAAUGCGUUCCCGGGCCUUGUACUCACCGCCCGUCA